GCCUAACACAUGCAAGUCGAACGAGCAAAUACAUUUGAUUUCUUCGGAAUGAAGAUGUAGGCGCGAGUGGCGGACGGGUGAGUAACGCGUGAGUAAUCUGCCUCAUACAGGAGAAUAACACUAAGAAAUUGGUGCUAAUACUCCAUAAGCUCACAUUAUGACAUCAUAGAGUGAGAAAAGAUUUAUCGGUAUGAGAGGAGCUCGCGUCUGAUUAGCUAGUUGGUGGGGUAACGGCCUACCAAGGCAACGAUCAGUAGCCGACCUGAGAGGGUGAUCGGCCACAUUGGAACUGAGACACGGUCCAAACUCCUACGGGAGGCAGCAGUGGGGAAUAUUGCACAAUGGGGGAAACCCUGAUGCAGCAACGCCGCGUGAAGGAAGAAGUAUUUCGGUAUGUAAACUUCUAUCGACAGGGAAGAAACAAAUGACGGUACCUGAAUAAGAAGCACCGGCUAAAUACGUGCCAGCAGCCGCGGUAAUACGUAUGGUGCAAGCGUUAUCCGGAUUUACUGGGUGUAAAGGGUGAGUAGGCGGUCAUGCAAGUCAUAUGUGAAAUGUCAGGGCUUAACCUUGGCGCUGCAUAAGAAACUGUAUGACUAGAGUGCAGGAGAGGUAAGCGGAAUUCCUAGUGUAGCGGUGAAAUGCGUAGAUAUUAGGAAGAACACCGGUGGCGAAGGCGGCUUACUGGACUGUUACUGACGCUGAGUCACGAAAGCGUGGGGAGCAAACAGGAUUAGAUACCCUGGUAGUCCACGCCAUAAACGAUGAGUGCUAGGUGUUGGCCAGAGAUGGUCGGUGCCGCAGCAAACGCAAUAAGCACUCCACCUGGGGAGUACGACCGCAAGGUUGAAACUCAAAUGAAUUGACG
rnacentral:rRNA from 1 species